rnacentral:rRNA from 1 species
GCAGCCACUCAUUCAAAGAGUGCGUAAUAGCUCACUGGUCGAGUGAUCCUGCGCCGAAGAUUUCCGGGGCUAAAACUUACUACCGAAGCUACGGCAUCAGUAAUGAUGGGUAGGGGAGCUUCCCAUAUGGGUUGAAGCAUGACCGUAAGGACAUGUGGACAGUAUGGGAGUGAGAAUGUUGGCAUGAGUAGCGAGAUGUGGGUGAGAAGCCCACAGGCCGUAAACCCAAGGUUUCCAGGGGAAGGUUCGUCCGCCCUGGGUUAGUCGGGACCUAAGCUGAGGCCGAAAGGCGUAGGUGAUGGACAACAGGUUGAUAUUCCUGUACUACCGAUAACCGUUUGAGAGAAGGGAUGACACAGUAGGAUAAGCUAAGCACACUGUUGGUUAU